rnacentral:rRNA from 1 species
GUAGGUGGCAAGCGUUGUCCGGAAUUAUUGGGCGUAAAGCGCGCGCAGGCGGUUCUUUAAGUCUGAUGUGAAAGCCCACGGGCUCAACCGUGGAGGGUCAUUGGAAACUGGAGAACUUGAGUACAGAAGAGGAAAGCGGAAUUCCACGUGUAGCGGCGAAAUGCGUAGAGAUGUGGAGGAACACCAGUGGCGAAGGCGGCUUUCUGGUCUGUAACUGACGCUGAGGCGCGAAAGCGUGGGGAGCAAACAGGAUUAGAUACCCUGGUAGUCCACGCCGUAAACGAUGAGUGCUAAGUGUUAGGGGGUUUCCGCCCCUUAGUGCUGCAGCUAACGCAUUAAGCACUCCGCCUGGGGAGUACGGCCGCAAAGGCUG